rnacentral:rRNA from 1 species
GAGCGGAUGAAGGGAGCUUGCUCCUGGAUUCAGCGGCGGACGGGUGAGUAAUGCCUAGGAAUCUGCCUGGUAGUGGGGGACAACGUUUCGAAAGGAACGCUAAUACCGCAUACGUCCUACGGGAGAAAGCAGGGGACCUUCGGGCCUUGCGCUAUCAGAUGAGCCUAGGUCGGAUUAGCUAGUUGGUGAGGUAAUGGCUCACCAAGGCGACGAUCCGUAACUGGUCUGAGAGGAUGAUCAGUCACACUGGAACUGAGACACGGUCCAGACUCCUACGGGAGGCAGCAGUGGGGAAUAUUGGACAAUGGGCGAAAGCCUGAUCCAGCCAUGCCGCGUGUGUGAAGAAGGUCUUCGGAUUGUAAAGCACUUUAAGUUGGGAGGAAGGGUUGUAGAUUAAUACUCUGCAAUUUUGACGUUACCGACAGAAUAAGCACCGGCUAACUCUGUG